rnacentral:rRNA from 1 species
GACGAACGCUGGCGGCGUGCUUAACACAUGCAAGUCGAACGGUAAGGCCUUUCGGGGUACACGAGUGGCGAACGGGUGAGUAACACGUGGGUGAUCUGCCCUGCACUUCGGGAUAAGCCCGGGAAACUGGGUCUAAUACCGGAUAGGACUGCGCGGUGCAUGCCGUGUGGUGGAAAGAUUUAUCGGUGCAGGAUGGGCCCGCGGCCUAUCAGCUUGUUGUGGGGUAAUGGCCUACCAAGGCGACGACGGGUAGCCGGCCUGAGAGGGCGACCGGCCACACUGGGACUGAGACACGGCCCAGACUCCUACGGGAGGCAGCAGUGGGGAAUAUUGCACAAUGGGCGCAAGCCUGAUGCAGCGACGCCGCGUGAGGGAUGACGGCCUUCGGGUUGUAAACCUCUUUCAGCAGGGACGAAGCGUGAGUGACGGUACCUGCAGAAGAAGCACCGGCCAACUACGUG